GCUCCUGUGGCGGAACGGCAGACGCAGCUGAUUCAAAACCAGUGUUUUGUGAGUUCGACUCUCACCAGGAGUACCA
rnacentral:tRNA from 1 species